rnacentral:lncRNA from 10 species
GUGAGCUGGGUCCAUGAAAUAAGUGAACAUGGUGUGGGGGUUACAGCCAUGCAGAAAUGGACUGAAUGUAGACAUAUUCCUCUUCACUCUCUGAAGCACAGAAUGUCACCAAGAACUGUUUCAUCUGUCAACAGGAGAGAUAGAGAUUGCAGAUGGCUACAGAGAAGAUUCUACAUGGGGAAGGCCCCACACAUAGCUGGAACGAAGUCAUGAGUAGAAGCCAGGGAGGCAUGAAAGAAAAAGUCUUGUGGCACCCACACCGAGAAGAUGCUAAGCAGAGAUGUGAGGAAACAAAGCUGAGAAUUGAGGGACAAUCCAAGGGAAAGAAGUGGACUGGGAAAUCGGUUCUCCUGGCCUGGAAAAGACACGUCACCACAGGAAAAAAUCUGGCUCCAGAGAACAAUUUAUUUUAAUAUGCCUCAUUUUGCUAUUUCAUUAAUUCAGAAAUACUUGGCCUUUUUUUCUACUGUUACUGUGGAGGCAUAAUAGGAAAUGUAAACAUACUGGUACAAAAUAAGAAAUAACUUAUUUAUAUGGCAGGAAGACUAGAAAAAUCACAGCCAUUUUCUUCUUCUUACUAUAAGCUCUAAUUUUCCAUGAUACUGCUCUACAUACAGGAUCUUUAUUUAAAAAAACCUGAAGUGAUGAUAUUACAUUGCCACAUCAACAUUUGAAAUUAAAUGAUCAAUGGGUGAUAUAAAAAUGGCCAGCACAUGGUACAUUUUGUAAUACUUUAAGUCACAUUGUUGAGAUCCUUGAUAAAGAUAUGAUUUGCUUUUAAUCUGGCACCAUCAUUUAUUUUGGGCAAAGCUAGAAAACAAAUAACAUAAUUUGCAUAAUGAAACCAUUGAGAGAAAAAUCACUGUAAUUUGUCAGAGGUAUCUGCACCAUUUUGACUUACAGUUUAAAUUCAUUCAAGUUUAUUUCUUUCCUUACCCCAACUAAACAAUGCUUUUGAUUUAUUCUUGCCAUUUAGUGUCAUAUAAAAUAAAGUGUUCCACUAGGAGGAGAAAUAAUUUGUCAAGUAGAAACUAUAUUAAAUGAAACAUUCUCUCUGAUAUGUUUUUAAUUUGUUUUAUUCCCAUUUUGCUAUUGCAAUUUUCCCACCUGCCAAUGGAGAUAAGGGGCUGUUUCAUUCUUUCUCUUUUGGCUCGCGAAGGCCACACGCUUGUUUUGUUAAGGAGAGUCCACCUAUCACCAGGAGGGACAGAAGUCAGCUCAGGAAGGGAGACCCUGCCAGGGGACUCAGCCAUGAGGUAAGGCCAGCCAUGAGUCCAAAGACAAGUAUUCCUGAGCACCUGACCGCUAUUUAUCAAACAUUGUUCUAGGGGAUGUGGGGAAUUGUAAGAGAAGCUCAAGACAGUGUUCUUGUCUGGGCUGAUGAAACCUUAUCCUAAUUCAGGCUACAGUGAAUACUUUAUGUGCAUUCUGAGUGUUCCUAUCCUUUCCUUGUUAUAUGGCAGGAGUUUUUGAUAUAG